AACGAACGCUGGCGGCAUGCCUAACACAUGCAAGUCGAACGAGACCUUCGUGACUGGUUGCGCACGCGUGCGUCACGCGUGGGACCCUUCCCUUAGGUUCGGAAUUCCUCCCUGUAAGGGGUGCUAAUACCGGAUAAUGUCUUCUGACCCCAGAUUCAUCGCCUUUGGAUGGGCCCGCGUUGGAUUAGCGUGUUGGUAGGGUAAAAGCCUACCAAGGCGACGCUCCAUAGCUGGUCUGAGAGGAUGAUCAGCCACACUGGGAAUGGGACACGGCCCAGACUCCUGAGGAAGGCAGCAGGGGGGAAUAUGGGACAAUGGGCGAAAGACGGAUCCAGCAGGGACGCGAGAGUGAUGAAGUCGGUAGGGUUGUAAAGCUCUUUUACCCGGGAUGAUAAGGACAGAACCGAGGGAAAAAGCUCCGGCUAACUCCGU
rnacentral:rRNA from 1 species